GUGGCUGGGUAAUGAGGGAGGAAUUGGACCAUUUUGGCUUUCCCUGCGUGGAGGUGAGAGAGCUCAGCCAGUCUCCUAAAAGGCCAUCUAGAAACUUCCCGGGUUGAGACCAGGAGAUGAGUAGGAGCAGCCGCCUAGUAUUUCUCAGAAGAGAAUACCAGUUCUUUUCUUUCUUAUGUCCCAGUCCUCUCUCACGUUCAUCCGCGACACUGCUUGUUAAUUACGUGUGACCAUUGCCGGCCUUUGACUUGACAGUGGCCACAGUCAUCAUUGAUAUUUACAGGUGCCUUUUUAAAAACCAGAUUGUUAUUAUUAACGCUUAUUAAUCUCCCUUGCUGGCUCCCGUGAAGCAGAAUGUUACUCCUACUUCCACAAAAGAGGAAAUGAAAGUAAUCUGACAGAGGUCACGCAGGUAACGAGACACCCUACUAGGGCCAGAGCCCAGGCCAGACUCCGCGUUCAGUCCCGUGCUCUAACCAGUCUUCUACCGAGUCGUUUAUAACACGGGCGAAGCAAAAGCAGACUGGAGAGAACACUGCUCCUUUUCAUUGUACUGAGGGCACAGCUUGGGAGACCAAGGAGAGAUAGCGCAGGAUGCCGAACUGGUCCUCUUCCCUUGUCUUCACUGUCAAGGACAGCCCAAGGAAAAAGAGCGGCGGCAACCAGCUCAACCCCUUGAUAGUUAACCAAGGUAGCCAUGUGAGCCCGUGAUCCUGGAAGCUGGAGGUCUGCAAUCGGGACUGCAACGCCCUCAAAAUACAAGACCAUUUGUGUGUGUGCUCUCCUCCACCUUAUCUCUUUUUGGCAAUAAGCCAUGGUGUAACCCCCUUGAGAUGACAAAAGAAAUAAAAGCUCAGAUGUGAUCAAAGGA